GAUGGCAGCGGAAGCCGAAGUCCAGCACGGAAGGCCUCCUGGUACAGACAGAAGCGACCGGGAGGAGGGGCGCUAGUCCGGUCAGAUGGCCCGAAAAGCUCCAGCUCGUACUCCAGAGGAAUCCCAUACUGAAUCCUUAUCAGUGAGAGUUCAUCCGGAGUCAAGGAGCCAGGGAUGGUGUCUAGCGCAAAGGCCAGACAGGGUUUGGUCCUGGCUACAGGUUCAACCAUGAUACCAGGAUUUUGGGGAACUGGAGCCGAUGAACUCCUAGAACUACUAGAAGAGGAGAUAUCGGAAGAUAUUUUGGAUCGAACGAAAGCUACAAAAUCUCGAAAAAAUUAGAAAAAUAGCGAACAGGCCC
rnacentral:lncRNA from 1 species